rnacentral:lncRNA from 1 species
UUAGUGUUGGAGCUAGGGUUAGGGUUGGGCUUGGAGCUAGGAUUUUUCUGAGUGCACUGAACCAACUCCCGAGUCUCUAGGACGUUCCUAAAAAAUUUGAUUUUUUUCCCAUAGGAAUGCAUGGGUUAGGGUUAGGGUUAGGGUUGGAGCUAGGGUUAGGGUUAGGGUUAGGGUUGGAGUUAGGGUUAGUGUUGGAGCUAGGGUUAGGGUUGGGCUUGGAGCUAGGAUUUUUCUGAGUGCACUGAACCAACUCCCGAGUCUCUAGGACGUUCCUAAAAAAAUUUUGAUUUUUUCCCAUAGGAAUGCAUGGGUUAGGGUUAGGGUUAGGGUUAGGGUUGGAGCUAGGGUUAGGGUUAGGGUUAGGGUUGGAGUUAGGGUUAGUGUUGGAGCUAGGGUUAGGGUUGGGCUUGGAGCUAGGAUUUUUCUGAGUGCAAUGAACCAACUCCCGAGUCUCUAGGACGUUCCUAAAAAAAUUUGAUUUUUUCCCAUAGGAAUGCAUGGGUUAGGGUUAGGGUUAGGGUUAGGGUUGGAGCUAGGGUUAGGGUUAGGGUUAGGGUUGGAGUUAGGGUUAGUGUUGGAGCUAGGGUUAGGGUUGGGGUUAGGGUUGGAGUUAGGGUUAGUGUUGGAGCUAGGGUUAGGGUUGGGCUUGGAGCUAGGAUUUUUCUGAGUGCACUGAACCAACUCCCGAGUCUCUAGGACGUUCCUAAAAAAAUUUGAUUUUUUCCCAUAGGAAUGCAUGGGUUAGGGUUAGGGUUAGGGUUAGGGUUGGAGCUAGGGUUAGGGUUAGGGUUAGGGUUGGAGUUAGGGUUAGUGUUGGAGCUAGGGUUAGGGUUGGGCUUGGAGCUAGGAUUUUUCUGAGUGCAAUGAACCAACUCCCGAGUCUCUAGGACGUUCCUAAAAAAAUUUGAUUUUUUCCCAUAGUAAUGCAUGGGUUAGGGUUAGGGUUAGGGUUGGAGCUAGGGUUAGGGUUAGGGUUAGGGUUGGAGUUAGGGUUAGUGUUGGAGCUAGGGUUAGGGUUGGGCUUGGAGCUAGGAUUUUUCUGAGUGCAAUGAACCAACUCCCGAGUCUCUAGGACGUUCCUAAAAAAAUUUGAUUUUUUCCCAUAGUAAUGCAUGGGUUAGGGUUAGGGUUAGGGUUGGAGCUAGGGUUAGGGUUAGGGUUAGGGUUGGAGUUAGGGUUAGUGUUGGAGCUAGGGUUAGGGUUGGGCUUGGAGCUAGGAUUUUUCUGAGUGCACUGAACCAACUCCCGAGUCUCUAGGACGUUCCUAAAAAAAUUUGAUUUUUUCCCAUUGGAAUGCAUGGGUUAGGGUUAGGGUUAGGGUUGGAGCUAGGGUUAGGGUUAGGGUUAGGGUUGGAGUUAGGGUUAGUGUUGGAGCUAGGGUUAGGGUUGGGCUUGGAGCUAGGAUUUUUCUGAGUGCACUGAACCAACUCCCGAGUCUCUAGGACGUUCCUAAAAAAAUUUGAUUUUUUCCCAUAGGAUUGCAUGGGUUAGGGUUAGGGUUAGGGUUAGGGUUGGAGCUAGGGUUAGGGUUAGGGUUAGGGUUGGAGUUAGGGUUAGUGUUGGAGCUAGGGUUAGGGUUGGGCUUGGAGCUAGGAUUUUUCUGAGUGCAAUGAACCAACUCCCGAGUCUCUAGGACGUUCCUAAAAAAAUUUGAUUUUUUCCCAUAGGAAUGCAUGGGUUAGGGUUAGGGUUAGGGUUGGAGCUAGGGUUAGGGUUAGGGUUGGAGUUAGGGUUAGUGUUGGAGCUAGGGUUAGGGUUGGGCUUGGAGCUAGGAUUUUUCUGAGUGCAAUGAACCAACUCCCGAGUCUCUAGGACGUUCCUAAAAAAAUUUGAUUUUUUCCCAUAGUAAUGCAUGGGUUAGGGUUAGGGUUAGGGUUGGAGCUAGGGUUAGGGUUAGGGUUAGGGUUGGAGUUAGGGUUAGUGUUGGAGCUAGGGUUAGGGUUGGGCUUGGAGCUAGGAUUUUUCUGAGUGCAAUGAACCAACUCCCAAGUCUCUAGGACGUUCCUAAAAAAAUUUGAUUUUUUCCCAUAGGAAUGCAUGGGUUAGGGUUAGGGUCAGGGUUAGGGUUGGAGCAAGGGUUAGGGUUAGGGUUAGGGUUGGAGUUAGGGUUAGUGUUGGAGCUAGGGUUAGGGUUGGGCUUGGAGCUAGGAUUUUUCUGAGUGCACUGAACCAACUCCCGAGUCUAUAGGACGUUCCUAAAAAAUUUGAUUUUUUCCCAUAGGAAUGCAUGGGUUAGGGUUAGGGUUAGGGUUGGAGCUAGGGUUAGGGUUAGGGUUAGGGUUGGAGUUAGGGUUAGUGUUGGAGCUAGGGUUAGGGUUGGGCUUGGAGCUAGGAUUUUUCUGAGUGCAAUGAACCAACUCCCGAGUCUCUAGGACAUUCCUAAAAAAAUUUGAUUUUUUCCCAUAGGAAUGCAUGGGUUAGGGUUAGGGUUAGGGUUGGAGCUAGGGUUAGGGUUAGGGUUAGGGUUGGAGUUAGGGUUAGUGUUGGAGCUAGGGUUAGGGUUGGGCUUGGAGCUAGGAUUUUUCGGAGUGCAAUGAACCAACUCCCGAGUCUCUAGGACGUUCCUAAAUAAUUUUUAUUUUUUCCCAUAGGAAUGCAUGGGUUAGGGUUAGGGUUAGGGUUGGAGCUAGGGUUAGGGUUAGGGUUAGGGUUGGAGUUAGGGUUAGUGUUGGAGCUAGGGUUAGGGUUGGGCUUGGAGCUAGGAUUUUUCUGAGUGCAAUGAACCAACUCCCGAGUCUCUAGGACGUUCCUAAAAAAAUUAGAUUUUUU